UUAGUUGUCAAUGCAAGCCUGGCUAUGAAUUAUGGAUUCCAUAUUCUGGAUGUACAGAUAUAAAUGAGUGUUCAGCUAGUCGUUAUGCUUGCAUAAAUUACAACACAAAGUGCACAAACACCAUAGGCAACUAUACUUGCACUUGCAAUACAGGAUUCAUACUAUCCUCAGGGGAACACAGAACCUUGUAUUGCACCAAUCUGAAUGAAUGUACAGAAUAUCCUGGAAUAUGUGGAAAAAACACGGUUUGCACUGAUACCACAGGAUCCUAUUCCUGUAGUUGUGCUUUUGGAUAUUCGAAUUUAAUCCCGGGAGUAGGAUGUGACUGCCCAACAGGUAUUGAAAGUGGUGGUUGUGGAGAGUAUUUAAAUGGAACAACAGGAUAUUUUACAAGUUUAAA